UUCGUAAAAACUAAUAAGGAUAAAUAACAUAAAAUCCAAAUCAAUAUUUAUUCAAAAAUAAAACUAAAUAAAUUGCAUCUAAUAUCCUACGCCCAUUGCUCGGUCUUAAGUUCCAUAUGCUUUUCUGGAUCUAAAAAAAAGAAAGAAAGAGAGAAAAAGUGAGAUUUAUAAGCUCAAUAAAUUUUCAAUAUGAGGGAUCAAGCAUAAAAUAAAUUUUUUUCUUAAUAUAGAUAUUUAAUAAUAACNNNNNNNNNNNNNNNNNNNNCUCUCAGUCUUUAGUUACUAUUGCCACAAUCAAUACAAUGACAAGGCCCAGAAAAAACUACCUUCUGAAUAUCAAGCAUGCGAUCCAUCAAUAUAUACCAAUGGUCAGUCCUAUUGGUCAGCUUCAGAAGGAAACUAGCUCUUAUUCAUACAAUCACGAUUAACUCUAUGACAGGACAAAAAGAUAAGUCUUAAAAACAAACACACAAUGCACCCGUGUAUGUAGCAAUCAACUCUGAUUGGUUAGAACUAGAAAGACUAAUUUUUUCAGCAAUCAAUUCGACUAAUUGACUUAAGAGAAACUAGUUUUUAAGGUAUGGCUAACAAUCAGUCCUAUUAGCCGGAUCCAAACCAUAGUCUAAUUAAAGUGUUUCUCUCACUAGUUCUUGUAAUAUAAUUAUAUUUAUUUUCAUAAUAAUCUUAAAUUCGAAGUACUACAUCUCAGCACCAAAAAGUAACAAAACAGUUUUCAAAAAUUUAUACAAAGAUAACCAUGCAUAAUCUCUUUUCCAAAUAUUAUAUAAUAUUAAAAUAAAGUAAUCCAUUUAUUUCAGAUGUAUAGUUUAUGAUAAUGUUGUCAGGCAUCUGAUGCUUGAUCCAUAAUUUUGAAUAUUUUUAUGAAAGCACGCAUAAUAUAAAUAUUUUUAAAAUUUUUUAUAAAAUAUUUUAAUACAUAUUUAUUUGUAAAUCCUAAUUUGAAAUAUAUAAUAUGUACUAAAAAAAAUUCAAAGAAUAAAAAAACUUACCAUCUUAAGUCACUCAGAUCCAAAAAUCAUAGCCUUUGACUCAUGGCCUAAUCUUUAGAUCCAUGCUCCUCUCGAUCUAAAUCAAAAUAUUAGAUCAAAUCUAAUUUAUUAAUAAAAAAAAUUAGACUAAUUAGACUUCGUCUAAUCAAUCAAUAGGGAUAAAAAAGAAAGAGAAAUUCUAUUUGGAUUUAAUCAAGGCCUGAUCUAUAGUUCGAUAUGUGUCGACUUGACUGACAUGAGAAGGAGAGAGAUACUCGAUCUAAGUCAAUUGGAUUUUUAUGCUAAAUCUACUUAAUUUAGAUCCAAUCAGGGCCCGGCUUAUUCAGAGUGAAUCAGCCAAUAAGGGUCUCAGUCUGAGUUUAAUUUUAUUAUGGAUCGGAUCCAAGGAGAUGAGACCACAAUAGAAAAUGGCUUCCCUUUUUAUUUUUUCUUACUUUUUGUUCUUUCUUUUUUUUCUUCUUCUCUUGGUCUUUAGCAAAGUAGGGGACUCUUGUUCCUUAUUUUCCCAAAAUGAAAACUCUCUAAUGGUAGGGUUAUGGUCAACGAUGGCUGGAGCCAUGACUGCAUGGCUAAAGCUCCCUUAAUCGGCAGCCAACAAUGACAACCAGCAUCGAAAAAAUCAAGCAAAGAAGGUGAAAAAUAAAGGGAAAACAGAGGCUUGGGUUUUUCAAAAGAACUCCGGCGCUUGUUGGACAGAAAUAGAGCUCUGAGGGCUAAGAAAGAUGGCAAACCAAAUAAAUUUGAGGAUAAAAGGGUCUUACCUGGGUUCCAAUGAUGAUUAGGCCAUGAAUCUGGUGAGCUCAGUGAUGAAAUUUCAAAAAGAAGAAGAGCAAGGUGAAGAAAAAAUCUCCACCGAUGGUUGACGGCCGACAUUGAUGGGUUUGAAGGGGGCUUGCCUUCUUUAAAUAGAGAUGGAGGAGAGUCCAAC
rnacentral:lncRNA from 1 species